rnacentral:rRNA from 1 species
CAAUAGCGUAUAUUAAAGUUGUUGCGGUUAAAAAGCUCGUAGUUGGAUUUCAGCCAAGGACGACCGGUCCUGCUUCUGUAGGAACCUGGUAUUGGCCGAGGCAUCUCUUGGUGUACGUGCUGGUGAUUGAGUUCUCCACGCGGACUCCGGGGCGUUUACUUUGAGGAAAUUAGAGUGUUUCAAGCAGGCAUCUGCCUUGAAUACAUUAGCAUGGAAUAAUAGGAUAGGACUUUGGCCCUAUUUUGUUGGUUUCUGGGACUAAAGUAAUGAUUAAUAGGGAUAGUCGGGGGCAUUCGUACUUAACUGUCAGAGGUGGAAUUCUUAGAUUUGUUAAAGACGAACUACUGCGAAAGCAUUUGCCAAGGAUGUUUUCAUUGA